rnacentral:rRNA from 1 species
GAGUUUGAUCAUGGCUCAGAACGAACGCUGGCGGCGUGGAUUAGGCAUGCAAGUCGAGCGCGAAAGUCUCUUUCGGGAGACGAGUAGAGCGGCGAAAGGGUGAGUAAUGCUCGGGCAACUUGCCCCUUGGACCGGGAUAGCCGCUGGAAACGGCGGGUAAUACCGGAUGGUCUCGCGCGGACCGCGGUCUGGGCGAGUAAAGGUGGGGACCUUCGGGCCCGCCACCAAGGGAGAGGCUCGAGUCGUACCAGCUUGUUGGUGGGGUAACGGCCCACCAAGGCGAAGACGCGUAGCCGGACUGAGAGGUUGGCCGGCCACACUGGCACUGAGACACUGGCCAGACUCCUACGGGAGGCUGCAGUCGAGAAUCUUCCGCAAUGGGCGAAAGCCUGACGGAGCGACGCCGCGUGGAGGAAGAAGGCCUUCGGGUUGUAAACUCCUGUCAGGGCCUCGGAAAGCUCCGGAGCGAAUACCUUCGGAGUUGACCAAACCCAAAGGAAGCCACAGCUAACUUCGUGCCAGCAGCUGCGGUAAUACGAAGG